rnacentral:rRNA from 1 species
UACGGAGGGAGCUAGCGUUGUUCGGAAUUACUGGGCGUAAAGCGCACGUAGGCGGCUUUGUAAGUUAGAGGUGAUAGCCUGGAGCUCAACUCCAGAAUUGCCUUUAAGACUGCAUCGCUUGAAUCCAGGAGAGGUGAGUGGAAUUCCGAGUGUAGAGGUGAAAUUCGUAGAUAUUCGGAAGAACACCAGUGGCGAAGGCGUCUCACUGGACUGGUAUUGACGCUGAGGUGCGAAAGCGUGGGGAGCAAACAGGAUUAGAUAC